ACCCAACACUCCCAAGUAUCCCUAAGUGGGACCCCAAGCAUCCCAGACAGGGGAGACUCUCUGAACCCCAGAGGGGAGAGACCAGAGAGGGGGAAUUUCUGGGAGAGAUUUUUUGGGCUAAUCUUCAUAUUUUAGAGUAUAUUUUAGCUGAAUCCCAACUUUUUGCAGUUUGUGGGGACAAGGGUUUUCUUGCUAUUUCUGAGGUUUUUUCCUGAAUCACUGUGGUUUGGGUUUUUCUGGGCUGAAUCUUGGUGUUUUGGAGGUUUUUAUGGUCACAGGAUGCCCGAUGAGUUCUAGAGAUGGACUUGGGCAGGAGGAACCCCCAAGCCAACGCGCUCAGCCCUUGUUUCCCCCCAUCAGGAUUUGUCCUUCCCAAAGCUUGGGUGGAUGGAGGAGGAGGCUGCGAGGAAGAGGAAGAUGCCUUGGGCCCCCCAGGCAGGCCCCGAGCUGAGGACGGAGAGCCCGGAGGACAAAUCCCCCCUUGAGACCCUGGUGGGAGAGGCCGUUUUGAAGGGCUCCAGGGCGCAGGAAGGCAGCGGGGAGGAAAAGGGCCGGAGAUCCCCCCGCAGGAGGGGCUCCAAAGCCAGUCCCCUUUCCCAGGGGCAGGUUCUUCCAACAGAACCUUUCUGGAGGUGUGUGGAGAUUCCUGCCAUGGCUGGGGACCCCCCAAGGUCACUCCUGGAGGUUGAGAGCAGAGAUCUCCCCACCAGCGUUGGUCUGGGGGAGUUCCAUCCACCUCUAAUUAAGAAUUAUUGCUUUUGUUUCAGCUUUAGUAGAA